rnacentral:hammerhead_ribozyme from 1 species
AUCUAACCGAUGAGUCCUACAUAGGACGAAACACACUUCCUGGAU